GGCCAGCUGUGGGCAGAGCUUUCUUUCCCUUGUGGUAGACCACAUAAUAGUAAUAUGCCACCUACUCAGGUGUUUUCCUCCAUUCCCAAGUCUUACAAGCCUACUCUGACCCACACCAAAGUCCCUGAAAAAGGCCCAGAUAAAGGUGUCUCUUGAAGUAAUUGGUUCCUGGAGGGCGUGAUGCCAAAGUGACAGCUACCAUCUUCCCUUUCAAUUCUUAGAACAAUGAGAGUAAACAGGGAAGGAAUCCCGAGGUGUGUGGAACAUGGAACGGACUGAAAUGUUUUUUAUAAACCUUGAAUUUAAUAGAGACACUCGUGAGAGCGGGACGUGCGGCUUCCAGCUGGGAACUUUGGUACUGUCAGCAACCAAAGAGCAAAUUGAAUAUGGGUGAUACUGAGAAAGGCAAGAAGAUUUUUGUUCAGAAGUGUGUCCAGUGCCAUACUGUGGAAAAAGGAGGCAAGCACAAGACUGGGCCAAAUCUCCAUGGUCUCUAUGGGAGGAAGACAGGUCAGGCUGCUGGUUUCUCUUACACAGAUGCCAAUAAGAACAAAGACAUAACCUGGGGAGAGGAUACACUGAUGGAGUAUUUGGAGAAUCCCAAGAAGUACAUCCCUGGAACAAAAAUGAUCUUUGCUGGCACUAAGAAGGGAGAAAGGGCAGACUUGAUAGCUUAUCUCAAAAAAUCUACAAAUGAGUAAUAGUUGGCCAUUGCCUUAUUUAUUACAAAAGAGAAAUAUCUCAUGGCUUUUUUUUAUGUGUACCAUAAUUUGAUUGGUCUCAUUUACCAGAAUUCAGAUCAUGAAUGAGUGACAGAAUAUUUUUGUUGGACAGUCCGGAUUUAACUAAGACUGGCUUGUGGUUAAAUGAAUAUGAUCGGUUUUUUAUAGUGAUUCCAGUUCAAUAAAUGCUAUCACUGUUUUCCAUUUCAAAAAAAAAAAAAAAAAGAGACACUCCUUCAAAGGGGGCAGUGCAGUGGAAAGAGUACAUGAUUUGGAGCUGAUUCCCACACUGGCAUGAACCCCAUUUUAUAGAUGAGAAA